GCCAGUCAGAGCCAGUGUGCAAAUAUUAAAAUCUGUUUCCGAUUUUAAAAGUCAUGCAGUCUAUUCCAGCUUUUAGCCCCUCUGUUUAUUUUAAAUAUAUUCACAGUGUUCCGGAAACUUGAUUUGACAUUUACAUACUCCAUGACACUUGUCGUGUUUGUAUACAGUUGCCACAACUCUGGCUAAACCCUUGGAUCUCUUUAACUGCACUCAUAAAUUAGCCUCAUAAUGAUAUUUGUGCAUGAAAAUAGUUGAGCAUUUGCGUCUUACCUUUGCACCGCAAUGGCUUGAUGGUGGGUAUAUUGGGUGCCUGUUCGCGGGUGUAGAAGAAAGUGUCCCGUCACAGCUACAUGACUGGAUUUAAUCACCGUGCAGAAGGCACGGAUGAGAAUAAACAGACCCAGACACACUAUAGCCAUGCCAAUGAGAACAAUGUACAUAUCCAUAGUCAUAAAGAGCACCAGGCCUGCCAUCACAAGCAAGAUCCCCAAUGAAACUUGCCAUCUGUGCUGGAAGGACAUGUUGUUUCUUCUGGCUACGCCAUCAUUAGUAGGCACGUUGUUUUCCGCCCUUGUAACACCACGCGUAUCACUGUGCAUGUGUGUAUGAGAGUUUGAGUAUGGUUUUUAAGUUGUGUUUCACAGAGCACAGCACAAAAGUCAGUCCAGCCCCUGUGUCAGUUCAUAUCCUUGCAGUUCCAAGAAAUCGCAGACCAUCCUACAUCUUGUCGGGUUGACGCAGUCCGACGUGCGUUUGUUUUGAUCAUGAAGUUGAACAUCAGUGGAUGAGUAUCAUAGUUUCUUCUAAUGAACGGUCUUCAACACAUCUGUCUGCAAGUAAUACUGAAUACACGUCCAGCGCCGCUUGUUUCAUUAUAGUCAGCGAGAAUAAUCAUUCCCAGCAAGCUCUUCACUUUACCACGGAAAUGCGACUCAGCCAGUCAUUUCCUCAAAGAAUCCUUAAUGGAAAGUCUCCCUCUUCCCACAGCCAUCGGUGUCGGUAGAUGUGUCAUCUGUUUGAGUAUGUAGGCAAUUAAACGUGAAGAGGAAGUGGCAGAGUUUAUGGGCGGAGGUUGAUGGCACUAUAGAGCGAUGUC
ensembl:lncRNA